CGCAAGAACCAGUUAAGAGAAGAGUUACUUGAUAGUAACGGAGCAAGCCAUCAUGAUGUCAUCUGCGAAGCCAAGUGGCUUCACGCCAACUCCUCAGUAUACACCACAGCAACGCCAGCGCUGAGGCCCAACGUCACUGAGCAAUUCGCAGAGGAGGCAUGUGAGCAGUACGGACUUCACCUCAUAACCGGGGCCUGGCUGCAAGCACAUGGCCAUGUUUUAAGAGAGAGCUUCCUAGAGAGAUUGGCUAUUCGGCAAGCAUCUUACCACGUCAAACCAAUCGUGGUGAACGGCAACUCCCUUUUCAGAACCGUAACGUUUAGCGAGGGAAAACAGAGGUUUGUGAACACCACAAGCAAUCACCGAGCCCAAAUCCUCUGUGUCAUGUGCAAGUGUUUGAACCAGGGUCAGUGUGACGACAAAGGCAAAUGCAUCUGCCCGAAGGGAUUUACCGG